UUGGGUGCCAGGGGUAUCCUGUUUUUUCCACGAAGGAGAGGCACUUGUGCCCACUUUUGUUCGACUGCAUUCACCACAGCCCUCUGCAUCAUUUUUUCACCCACAAAUCUCUCUCCAAUGGACAUAUUUUCACUCGAAAAACCUCUUGCCAGAGAUCAUAAGGGAGAUAUGCAGGGCCAAUCACGAGAGAUCAACCGGGGGGGCUCCGUUCGUACUUGUUCAACUGUACAAAUGGUCAACUGUACACAGGAUUUUCAAACGGUGAGAGCACCACUGUGCAGGGAUUCAACUGUCGAGAGAAAAAACUAGGCAUAGCCAUGUUACGUCCUACCCAAGUUACUAGCAGGACACUAGCGCUGUUUGUGUUAUUGAGCGCCAGAUUUUAAAAACGGGAUCCGUGAGCCGCUAAACCUCUAAUGAGGACUCCAUCGAAGUCUGUUUCUCCAGGUUGAGGGUAUGGACGAGGCUGCGGCCUAUCAUCAGUGUAUCUCGCUACUACCCAGUAAAACCGCAGAAAACCUGGGCAAUACUCUGACUUAUCCACCCUCAAUAACAAUACUUAUAUCUAGACUUACAAUUUUUGAAGUAUUAUUAAUAAUCCAAUGUUUCACGUUUCCACUCUAAUUUCACUUUAAUUUCACUUAUUGCCCUUUUUCAAUUUUCACUCAACACCACAAGAAAUUCUGCCGGAUGAAACUGCGUUGUCUUGUCAGUGGAAACUGCUUGGCUGCAACUGCCCUUGGAUCCUUUGACUGCGAUCACCGGAACUCUGCUUGGCUCAGCACCGUUGUCACGAAGAUUUCCAGAAUUUCCAAAUUCAAAUUCAAGAUUCGAUGGAUGCGGCUAUCCCACCGCUGUCACCAAUUGUUACGUCCUACCCAAGUUACUAGCAGGACACUAGCGCUGUUUGUGUUAUUGAGCGCCAGAUUUUAAAAACGGGAUCCGUGAGCCGCUAAACCUCUAAUGAGGACUCCAUCGAAGUCUGUUUCUCCAGGUUGAGGGUAUGGACGAGGCUGCGGCCUAUCAUCAGUGUAUCUCGCUACUACCCAGUAAAACCGCAGAAAACCUGGGCAAUACUCUGACUUAUCCACCCUCAAUAACAAUACUUAUAUCUAGACUUACAAUUUUUGAAGUAUUAUUAAUAAUCCAAUGUUUCACGUUUCCACUCUAAUUUCACUUUAAUUUCACUUAUUGCCCUUUUUCAAUUUUCACUCAACACCACAAGAAAUUCUGCCGGAUGAAACUGCGUUGUCUUGUCAGUGGAAACUGCUUGGCUGCAACUGCCCUUGGAUCCUUUGACUGCGAUCACCGGAACUCUGCUUGGCUCAGCACCGUUGUCACGAAGAUUUCCAGAAUUUCCAAAUUCAAAUUCAAGAUUCGAUGGAUGCGGCUAUCCCACCGCUGUCACCAAUUGUUACGUCCUACCCAAGUUACUAGCAGGACACUAGCGCUGUUUGUGUUAUUGAGCGCCAGAUUUUAAAAACGGGAUCCGUGAGCCGCUAAACCUCUAAUGAGGACUCCAUCGAAGUCUGUUUCUCCAGGUUGAGGGUAAUUGAAUUGUUGGGUAAUUCAAUAAUAAAUCAAUUACACAACUGCUUAGAAGAGCACACUAACACUUUAUUUGGUAAAAACUAACCGUAUUUUGGAUCCUCAUACAAAAGUUAUUCUAAUUACUGACCCUAAUUUAGCUCUUGAAAACUAAUUGAACAGGCUAACGGAGAGAAGCUGCUAGCAGGAUAAUUGUAUUAAUACUAACUUAUCUCAACUUAAACUUCUAAGGGUUGGGUCCAGUAACCCCCACUAGUCCAAAAGUGGCGCACGCAACCCUGGCCCAAGGGGCAUAUUAAAUCAUAAGAGAAAGAGGGAAACAAGGAGAGCGCGUGAUGUCACAGUUUUCCACAGAGAAUUCCCGGAUUCUCUGUUCAGCAGGACAAUGGACAAAGGAAAGCUCACAUGUGUUAAACACAUGAGACAGAGAAAUGUUUGAAGUAAACAGUACUCGAGUUUUAUGACUUUAGACCGUGACUUUUGAAUUUACUUUGUUUUUAUAUUUUAUGUUUCGAGGAACUGCCUUUCUGCAGUGCGUUUGGGAGAGUAAUAAAUUUGGAUUAGAACUCGAAUACUUGACACUUGAUUCUACGUUUUUGUGGAAUGGUUUUCUCACGCCCGUAAAUUUAUUUCUCCUUUGUUCAUUGUCCCGCUGUUUAUUUUUUGGCAUUCCUUCUGACUUUCUAAAAUUCCAUAUGGCGUUGAUUUAUCAUUUUGCUCUUUAUAAUAUUUUCAAAAUUCGCGGAUCAAAAUGGCUGAUAAAUAGUGCCAUCUACAAUAUUCAACCCCAGGACAUCACAGCCACAUCUGUACAGGCGGCGCAAGGUGGGUUAAACAGCGUCGACAAGGUAGAGAUCGAUAGUUUUUUCUCCCGACAGUUGAAUCCCUGCACAGUGGUGCUUUUGACCAUUUGUACAGUUGAACAAGUACAAACGGAGCCCCCCCCCAUCGGGACCCAGCGCUACAUGUACAGCUUACGUUUUUGUCUCGACAGUUGAAUUCCUGCACAGUGGUGCUCUCAACGUUGGAAAAUUCUCUGUACAGUUGAUCAUUUGUACAGUUGAACAAGUACAAACGUAGCCCCCCCCCGAUCAACGACGAAAUAUUCUAGCGGCAGCGCCGGAACUAAUUUUGGAGCCGGACUUGUCGGUACAGUACCGAACGUUACGGCUGCAAAAUCGGAGCAGAGGGAAAAGUCGGCAACGCUGAUAGCCUGGGGUGGGGGAAUACAAGUAAGUAGGGAAAUUAAACAGCUGGGCAGGCCUUCUGAAUAUCCGAACGGCGUUGAGGGAAGCUUUUCCCUUCAAGCACCGAUUACAGCAGAUUCGCCCUCAAUUUAAAAAUCGAUAUUGCCCGCUCUAAUUGAGAUCAAGGGAUGAAACCAACCUCAUUGGAUUGCUCAUUAAAUUGUUCAUUAAGGACGGCGGUUUCGUUUCUUAAUUCGAAUUAGGAGGGGAGAGAUUAAUUUUGAAAAAUGCAGCUUGACGCACAUCAGUUCUCGGCCGCAUUAAGCGAGAAUAUCCAAUAACUCCCCACGAUUCGAAAAUUCAUUUCUCUCCCUCUCCAUAAUAACAAACAACUCAAUUCCAAGUUCCACUUACUUGAUGCUCACACUACUAUUCCAUUUGACGGCUUAUUGGUAUUUGAUUUUUUCAGUCAGCACAGAUGUAAAAUUGACUAUGAACAUUGUAAUAUCACGAUGGCUUCGAUCGCAGAGCCUACCCAUUUUUUCAAAAUGUACCUCAGCCUAAAAGUAAAACCAUGAUUACAAUCGGUGCAAGAGCUGAGAUGAUCAUGAAAGUCAGUAUUUCAAAUCCUCACGGGUUGCAUGAAGGCGUAAUCCCCUCUCAGAAGAUUGCAAGUGAUCCAAAUCUUAUGAUUCCCAGUGCAACCAUUAAUUUAUCGAAUGAAUUAAAAACUAUACAAAUUCCUCAACUCACUGUACAACCUAUAUCCAAGGAGAUCACAAUCUUUAAAGUCGCUCCAGGAUUGAGUGAAAAUAGUCGCGAAAAAAGUAUUAAAAUUUUGAAAGAAAUUCCCGAGGAAGAAACAGAAGCAAAGUCAAUCCAGAUCACUUACAAAGCUGUACUUGAAUUUAAUUACAAGGACUUUAUUAAAAUUCACUACACGAAUCAAAAUGUCAUUGAAUCUUCAAAAGAUAAUACCCCUUUAACUCAAACCAAAAUUCAUGUGGUUCUACUCUGGUUCCAAGAACUUGAUGAAAGUAAUCAGUACUCUGAUUAUAUUUCCAAUAAUUUUGGUACAAGAGAAUUGAAAUCUGGCAUCAAUGAAAUUAACAAGCUAAAAAGUAACGAUCAAACUUUUUAUUUACUUUAUGCAAAGAACUGUCAUCACGAUAAAUUUAAAUAUGGAGACAUUUUUGAAAGUUUGAAAAAUCUCAAGAAAUUACUAAAUAAUAAAUCGUUUGUUUUUGUUCCACCCGUGAAAAGUCCCAACAUCCAAACUCAACUCUUAAAUAAAAUGUUGAAAUUCAUAUUUCCACAGUCAGAUAUUAGAUUGUUCAACAUCAGUAAAAUUACUCCCAAAACUAAAGAUGAAAUCAAAAUUAUCCUCGAAGAAAAUCAUUCUAGCAAAUUAGCAGGACAUUAUGGUUUCAACAAGACGUACGCAAAAAUCAAGGAACCCUACUACUGGACUACUAUGAAAAAUGAUAUUCGUAAAUCCGUAAAAUCAUGCCAUUCUCGCCAAUUGAGCAAAACAUUUAACCACGACGCCUUAUCACCCACAAACCCUACGGUGCGUUGGAAAGAUCUCACUUGACAAUCAUACAGCAGACAUAGAAAUAGGCAAUAAAACAAUUAAAUACCACACUAAUCUCCGGAAACGGUAUUUCCCAGAUGAUCUCUAAAUUCCUUCCACUUCUUUUCCCCUUACUCCUAGUUGAGUGGCUUCAUUAUAAUAUUCGUCCAUUGAAUGAUUCGAACGCGAUACUCUUUUAUGAGAAAGGCACCGCGCAAAUUGCAAAUUCUAAAUUGACACUCAUAAACCACAUUGAUUAUACACACUUGAAUAAGGCUCGACAAAUAUUAACAAAAAACUCAGCAUCCACACAAAAAUAUUGCACUAGACUACGAAAGGAAUUACCCCAAAUACAGGAUAGCAAUUUCCAGUGCGAACGCAGUCUAGAAAUAAUUAACAGAGAAAUAAAUGCAAUUCAUGAAAAAUAUAAAAUCUUGCAGCAAUUGACCAUAGACCCGUCGAAACGAAAACGUCGCUCACUGAUCAAUGGAGUUUUCCAAGUGUUCGGUAGAAUUAUUUGAAUAGAAGAGUUAAUAUAUUGUUCUCCAGUAUCGUCUAGAAAAUAAGGACCCAUUGUAUUCAAGCUUUUCAGUCACAUGUAGUGCACAGACCCACAAAAUGUAUCCGUAGAAAUUUAGAAAAACUACAAUAAGGGACUAGUCGUAAAACUGUAACUUAACUCCAGCAUAGCUAACCUUUUGAGAAAUUUUAUUACCCUUAAGGCUCGAUUGCAUGGUCAUCUAUCAACUUACAGUUUAGAGAGAAAGAUAGAUUUGAAAUAUAGGAAACAGACCUUUUCUGUUUUCACCAAACGUUGCACUCACACACACCCUCCAUUUUACAAAAUUCUAGCCAAGAUAGAGAAGUUGAAAGAAAGUCAGUGCGCACUGCAACCCCGAAGCGACCGCUCCGCUUAAGACAGGGUCAAUUAAAUUGAAAAGACGAAGUGACCGUUCCACUUCAAAUAAGUCUUGAUCCAAGCAGAUUCACUGCUUGGGCAUACUCAUGAAAACGUUAUUGUAGCCCAACGCAGAAUUACCAUAACGGGCAUUUUAAAAUGUUAAUGGACGACAUUGCUCCAAACGUUCAAUAAAUAAAAUAAUAUACACAAAAACAGUGUGAGGUCAUUGAGUUGUGCUCUCCACAUAUAAAACAGCAAGUAUUUAAUUGGUUUUUCGAAUAUCAUACCGUGGCUGAUUAUAAUGAUAAUAUUGAACUAUUUAAAAAUGAUAACCAAAUGCGGAGUGCAAUCAAAUCACAGAAUCGAAUCAUCGCAAACACCAUGAAAAAUUUCAAUGACUCGUUCAGUCUUAUCAAAAAUCAAGAGAUUACAAUGAAUAGCAAUUUGAAAAAAAUUGAUGAAGUUUCAGCUCAAACAAAUUUCCGGCUUUCUGCCUUGAAUCUAGAAACUACACUUAACGAUCAAAUUUCAAGACUGUUUACCUUACGUUCAAUCAUUUUGAAAGAAUCUAAUCAAUAUAUCGAAACUAUUAGACUUGCAUUACAUAAUAUAAUUUCACCAUCAAUCAUCACUCCUCAAAUGUUCUACGAAGAAUUGAAUAAGUAUGAAGACCAAUCAGAAUUUAUGGUAAAACCAGACCCUCAAAAUAUUGCGUCAUUUGACAAAAUUUCAGACAUUCAAGUCUCCAUAACGAAAAACAAUAUAAUUUUUAAUCUCAAUGUUCCAUUAGUUACCAAAAACGUUUUCACUAUCUAUCAGAAGAUCAUGUUUCCAAUUUUGAAUGAAUUAUUUUCUACCUUCACAUUUAUCCAAUCAAAAAUCGAUUACCUCCUUAUGUCCCAAUUAAAUUCCCAAUUCUUAAACCUUCCAUCUCUUUCGCAACGUAAAGAGCAUCUGAGUAGAAGGUACAUUUGCUAUGGACAACAUAUCAUCGAGACAUUAGAUCGACCCAGCUGUGAAGUCCAACUUCUCCUCUCUCAUGUCGACCGUAUUCCGAGUUCCUGCGAAAUUACAACAACUAGAGCAAUCGCUGAAUUUUGGCAUUAUCUGGAUGCCAACGAAUCGAUGUACACCCUCCAGAAGUCUACCACCGUGACAGUAAUUUGUAACGGCAAACCACGAUAUCAUAUCGAAGAUUUCGUUCUCCAUGGACCCGGAAUCAUCCAACUUCACAACUGCAGAGGUUAUACCAACACCCAGAUCCUUGAAACGAGUAGCCAGUAUUAUAGGAACUCUGGGUGAUGUUCCUAUAAUACU